ensembl:snoRNA predicted gene, 23479
CCUGUCGCUAAAGCACUGUAGGUGUGGCUGCUGUGUCAUGUGUGCCAGUAGGCGGCAGAGAGGAGGGAGGUUACAUCUGUGCUCAGGGUUUUGACCUGUGAAUGUCUGAGUAGUCUAACGUUUCCUG